rnacentral:rRNA from 1 species
UACGUAGGGCGCAAGCGUUAUCCGGAAUUAUUGGGCGUAAAGAGCUCGUAGGCGGCGCACUCAGUCCGGCGUGAAAGCCCUGGGCUCAACCUGGGGACUGCGCUGGAGACGGGUGUGCUCGAGGGUGGAAGAGGCUCGCGGAAUUCCCAGUGUAGAGGUGAAAUUCGUAGAUAUUGGGAAGAACACCGGUGGCGAAGGCGGCGAGCUGGUCCAUCACUGACGCUGAGGCGCGACAGCGUGGGGGAGCAAACAGG